AUUGAACGCUGGCGGAAUGCUUUACACAUGCAAGUCGAACGGCAGCACGGGAGCUUGCUCCUGGUGGCGAGUGGCGAACGGGUGAGUAAUGCGUCGGAACGUACCGAGUAAUGGGGGAUAACGCAGCGAAAGUUGUGCUAAUACCGCAUACGCCCUGAGGGGGAAAGUGGGGGAUCGCAAGACCUCACGUUAUUCGAGCGGCCGACGUCUGAUUAGCUAGUUGGUGGGGUAAAGGCCUACCAAGGCGACGAUCAGUAGCGGGUCUGAGAGGAUGAUCCGCCACACUGGGACUGAGACACGGCCCAGACUCCUACGGGAGGCAGCAGUGGGGAAUUUUGGACAAUGGGGGCAACCCUGAUCCAGCCAUUCCGCGUGAGUGAAGAAGGCCUUCGGGUUGUAAAGCUCUUUCAGCAGGAACGAAACGGUGCGCUCUAACAUAGCGUGCUAAUGACGGUACCUGCAGAAGAAGCACCGGCUAACUACGUGCCAGCAGCCGCGGUAAUACGUAGGGUGCGAGCGUUAAUCGGAAUUACUGGGCGUAAAGCGUGCGCAGGCGGAUUGUUAAGCAAGACGUGAAAUCCCCGGGCUUAACCUGGGAAUGGCGUUUUGAACUGGCAGUCUAGAGUGUGUCAGAGGGGGGUGGAAUUCCACGUGUAGCAGUGAAAUGCGUAGAGAUGUGGAGGAACACCAAUGGCGAAGGCAGCCCCCUGGGAUAACACUGACGCUCAUGUACGAAAGCGUGGGUAGCAAACAGGAUUAGAUACCCUGGUAGUCCACGCCCUAAACGAUGUCAACUGGUUGUUGGGGGAGUGAAAUCCCUUAGUAACGAAGCUAACGCGUGAAGUUGACCGCCUGGGGAGUACGGUCGCAAGAUUAAAACUCAAAGGAAUUGACGGGGACCCGCACAAGCGGUGGAUGAUGUGGAUUAAUUCGAUGCAACGCGAAAAACCUUACCUACCCUUGACAUGUCCGGAAUCCUGCAGAGAUGCGGGAGUGCCCGAAAGGGAAUCGGAACACAGGUGCUGCAUGGCUGUCGUCAGCUCGUGUCGUGAGAUGUUGGGUUAAGUCCCGCAACGAGCGCAACCCUUAUCAUUAGUUGCUACGCAAGGGCACUCUAAUGAGACUGCCGGUGACAAACCGGAGGAAGGUGGGGAUGACGUCAAGUCCUCAUGGCCCUUAUGGGUAGGGCGACACACGUGCUACAAUGGCCAGUACAGAGGGUUGCUACCUGGUGACAGGAUGCUAAUCUCGAAAGCUGGUCUCAGUUCGGAUCGAAGUCUGCAACUCGACUUCGUGAAGUUGGAUUCGCUAGUAAUCGCGCAUCAGCCAUGGCGCGGUGAAUACGUUCCCGGGCCUUGUACACACCGCCCGUCAAGCCAUGGAAGCCGGGGGUACCUGAAGUCCGUAACCGCAAGGAGCGGCCUAAGGUAAAACUGGUGACUGGGGCU
rnacentral:rRNA from 1 species